GACGAACGCUGGCGGCGUGCUUAAUACAUGCAAGUAGAACGCUGAAGAGAGGAGCUUGCUCUUCUUGGAUGAGUUGCGAACGGGUGAGUAACGCGUAGGUAACCUGCCUGGUAGCGGGGGGUAACUAUUGGAAACGAUAGCUAAUACCGCAUAAAAUUGAUUAUUGCAUGAUAAUUAAUUGAAAGAUGCAACUGCAUCACUACCAGAUGGACCUGCGUUGUAUUAGCUAGUUGGUGAGGUAACGGCUCACCAAGGCGACGAUACAUAGCCGACCUGAGAGGGUGAUCGGCCACACUGGGACUGAGACACGGCCCAGACUCCUACGGGAGGCAGCAGUAGGGAAUCUUCGGCAAUGGGGGGAACCCUGACCGAGCAACGCCGCGUGAGUGAAGAAGGUUUUCGGAUCGUAAAGCUCUGUUGUAAGAGAAGAACGGGUGUGAGAGUGGAAAGUUCACACUGUGACGGUAUCUUACCAGAAAGGGACGGCUAACUACGUG
rnacentral:rRNA from 1 species